UUCCUCCUCUGCCUUGUUCUUCCUGGACAUUGAGUCCGAUCCCAAAUCUUCGCCCGAAUCGCAUAGAUCCUUGCCCCUUGCCACACCUGACUCUUUAUAAGUAAUCUCCACCUCUGACUCUUCCGAUUUUUCAAAAAAAUUGGACCUCCCGUGCCCUGGAGCUCCCGAUCGGAUCUCGCCGGAGUUGCGCCAUCGCAGGAGGUUUUCGCCGGUUGUUUCCGUCGCGCCUGGUAGUACCGAGCCGAGAGCAAGUGCCUCGAUCCGAAGAUCACAGCCACCGCCCGACCUCUGUCACCACCGAGCGUAGCUGCGACGGGAGCAUCCCCCGCUCUACACCAAUAGCACCAUCGUCCUCGGAGCUUCGCGGCGCACACGCCUCUGUACUUCUCCGUCGCCUAGUACCGCUGGAGCCGCCGCCCCGUCCACAACCGCAGCGACCGUGCCGGUCUUCCCCAACUCCGGCCAGCGUAUUCUGCUCUUUUCGCUCAAGGAGAAUGGCCAGAGGCAAACUAUGAUCUUGGAAUACAAGGUUAAAUUAGCUGAACAUGCAUAUGGGCCGGAGAAAUCAUGCAUGGACGUGGGACUCCUCUUGGUUGACCAAUGGGAAAAUGAGUUUGGCUCAUCCACGUACAUGACAGUGAAGUGGCGCCACCAAUAUAUAAUGUUGCUCACGAGACUGUGUAUUUUCAGCUCAAGGAGAAUGGCCAGAGGCAAACUAUGAUCUUGGAAUACAAGGUUAAAUUAGCUGAACAUGCAUAUGGGCCGGAGAAAUCAUGCAUGGACGUGGGACUCCUCUUGGUUGACCAAUGGGAAAAUGAGUUUGGCUCAUCCACGUACAUGACAGGUAACAAGGCAAGUCAGUUUGUAAAGGAAAGUGAUCAAAAGAGACAGGAAAAUAAAGACUGUUAUUUUUUUAGUCGGUCACGACCACCAGAAGUUGCUGAUGGUUUGCCUAACAAGCAUCGCUCGUGGAGAUUAUUCUCCCUGAAGGACACGGGCUGGGGUCGACCAACAUGCAUGGCAAUUAGAGAUAACGUGCAUGACACAAAUAUUAGAUACAUCUGUUUAAAUUUUUCUGGUUCUAGUCGGUUGGGUACUUUUCUUUUGGGUCAAGUCAGAGGUGCGUCUACUACUAUAAAGCUGAGCCUACGUGCUUUGUAGUUUUUAGGUUAUGUUUUCUACAGGUUAGACAACAUGUGUAUCAAAUAUUAAGCGGCUUUUUUUGGGUGUCGUUGUUAAUUAUUUUGUGUGAUUUUUCUGCGUGAAA